CCCGCUCAGCAACACGUGACGUCACGGGGGGGACCCCGGCGCCGCGCAUUGGUGGAGAGUCGCGCCUGGCCCCGCCCCUCGGGAGGCGGCGGCCAAUCAGCGCGCCGCGCUGCCUCCAUGUGCGAGCCAUGCGCCCGCGGGGGGCGGGGCCGGGGGCUGCCCGCUCGGGCUCGGCGCAGCUCCGCGGGGGCGCAGCGCGGCUCAGCCCCGCGCAGGGCGCUCAGCGCAACAACGCCGCGCAGCGCAGUGCAAAGCAAAGCAAAGCAAAGCAAAGCAGCGCGGUGCAAAAAGCAAAGCAAAGCAACGCGAUGCAACGCACAGCAGCGCCCCGGGGCACGGCGGCCCCUUUGUUCGCAGCACGCCUCCCCCCCCACACUCCCUUCGUAGCCCCUCUUCCCCGCUCCGCGCUGGGGCAUGGCGCAGUGUGCGCGCACCCUCCAGCAGCGGCAGGCCGGCCGCUCGCCCUGCCCUGCCUUGCCCUGCCUUGCCCCGCGGCUACCUGGCGAGCGCCGCCGCUUGCCUACGUGACUGUGCCGAUGCCCCGGCGGGGGCAGCGGGGACGCGCCGCCGCCUCCUCCCUCCCCGAGGACCCCCCCCCAGGGGCUGCGGGACACCGGCCCCGGCCGUGGGGCAGCGGGGACACACGGCAGGGGGACCGGGCACACGGCAGGGGGACCGGGGACGGGGGGGUGCCAGCCCCGCGGCGCUGCCCCCCCAGCCCCGAGCAGGGCAUUCAUGCCCCCCCCCCCAUCCUCCCCGUCUCGCUCACUCACUUUUAUUCUCCUUCUCGAUCCGCUCCAGGUAGCUGGCGGCCUCCAGCAGCACCUGCACGUUGCGCAGGAAGGUGUCCAUGCCCGCGUUGCACAGCUCCCCCAGGGGGCAGCGGGCCCCGCCGGCCGCCCCCGCUCCCCCCCGCGGCUCCCUCCGCGGCCGGCCGCGCUUCCCCAUGCCCCGGCGGCUCCCAAGCCCCGGGCCCUGCACGGUGGCGGCGGCGGCGGCGGCGCUGCGUGU
rnacentral:lncRNA from 1 species